UGAAUUGCAGCUGUACUAAUUACCAAAGAGCAGAAGCAGCCUUGCUCUUAAUAGGUCACAGCUGUGUCCAAUAGGGAUGUGUGUUCUAAAAGAGUCGUUGGCAGGUCAUGGAGAGAGGAAGGAGUCGGUGUUGCUGUCUGUGGGAAUUCACAGAGGAAAGGACAAAGACAAAGCUGUACAGUUCUGUACCAAACACCUGUGACAAAUGUGAAAUCAUGACAAUCAGAAGACCAGUAAAAUAAUAUUUUGAAAAUGUUUAAUAGGAUGCUGUGAACACUAACUACUCAGCCAUGACAAAUAUGCUGGGCUCCUCUGCUGAGCAUGGCAUGUCUGUAUCACACACCCGAUGGAUCUGUCACUGAGCAAUCACAAACCCAACGUGAAGAGCCCGUGUCUAAUGCAACAUCCUCCGAAUGCAGGAAGUGACAGAAGAGCUGGCACAGAGCCUCCCCAUCUAUUACUGGAAAGCACAAGUCCUCCAACGACUGUCAAAAGGACCCGGAGGAUCAUCCAGACAAAGAAAUUCUCUCACUGCAAGGCUUUACCAAAUAAAAGAGAAUGAAUUACUGGAAGUACAAAACCAGCAACAA